CUCUUCUUUUUGUGCUCGUUAUUCGAUACGUUUGACGAAGAAUAGAAAGUAAGCGCUUGAAAUCUAUUUUCCUAUGGUUUCACCGACACGAGGGAUUAUUAUUGCAGAAAUUGUGACUUCCCUAACGGUGGCCCUCCCGGGUACCAACCAGCUGCCGCAGCUCCUCCACCGCUAAGCACGGAAUACGAGCGGCCACCUCCCUAUUAUUAUUAUCCUGGGCCAGGGGACACAAAUUAGGAAACAAGUGCCGUGGCAUGCACAAAGGUAGCGCUGAAUAGCGUGGCUACCCACAGUCUCACCCGCAGUUACAAAAGGACGCUCAAAAAGAAAGAGAAAUCCGGAUGUAAACGAGACUAUGUUUAAUUGUAGCGUUCCUGUUUGAGCGUGCCACGGACCGUGCGAACGGCAAAAUCAAUUAAAGACCAAGUUUACGAUAAAAUACAGACUGAGGUAGGCUAAAUGGAUCCUUCGGCGAGCCGCAAGUAAUGUGAUCAACGUGUACGAUUCGUUUCGAUUUAGUAUUAUUUUUAGACAUCGUGCGUAUAUCACGAGAGAAAUGUUACAUUGUUC